rnacentral:rRNA from 1 species
UAGGGAAUCUUCGGCAAUUUGGACGAAAGUCUGACCGAGCAACGCCGCGUGAGUGAAGAAGGUUUUCGGAUCGUAAAACUCUGUUGGUAGAGAAGAACGUUGGUGAGAGUGGAAAGCUCAUCAAGUGACGGUAACUACCCAGAAAGGGACGGCUAACUACGUGCCAG